AAUUGAACGCUGGCGGCAUGCUUUACACAUGCGAAGUCGGAACGGUAACAGGUCUUCGGAUGCUGACGAGUGGCGAACGGGUGAGUAAUGCAUCGGAACGUGCCCAGUCGUGGGGGAUAACGCAGCGAAAGCUGUGCUAAUACCGCAUACGAUCUAUGGAUGAAAGCGGGGGAUCGCAAGACCUUGCGCUGAUUGAGCGGCCGAUAUCAGAUUAGCUAGUUGGUGGGGUAAAGGCCUACCAAGGCUACGAUCUGUAGCGGGUCUGAGAGGAUGAUCCGCCACACUGGAACUGAGACACGGUCCAGACUCCUACGGGAGGCAGCAGUGGGGAAUUUUGGACAAUGGGGGCAACCCUGAUCCAGCAAUGCCGCGUGAGUGAAGAAGGCCUU
rnacentral:rRNA from 1 species